ACAAUUACAUAAUAUAAUCAAUUACACUAAAAAUAAUAUAAUAAUCAUUACACACAAGUAUGGACGUAAUCAUAAUUACUUAUUUCAAUUUAAUUUUAUUUAUUCUUAACACUACCACUAUCACUACCACUACCACUUAACCACCGUUACUACCAGUUAGUCAUUACUGCAGCCGCCGUCACCUGGCCAUUACCACCACAGCCACCUCCACUUUCUUAUCACCACCAUCACUACCCCUACCUUACCACCACCACCAUCACCACUCACCCAGUCACCAUUAUUGUGGCCACCACCACUAUCGCCACCACCAUUACACCAUCACUUAGCCAUCACUAUUACUACCACCACCACGAUUACCACUUAGCUA
rnacentral:misc_RNA from 1 species